rnacentral:rRNA from 1 species
AACGAACGCUGGCGGCAUGCCUAACACAUGCAAGUCGAACGAGACCUUCGGGUCUAGUGGCGCACGGGUGCGUAACGCGUGGGAACCUGCCUUUAGGCUCGGAAUAACUCAGAGAAAUUUGAGCUAAUACCGGAUGAUGUCUUCGGACCAAAGAUUUAUCGCCUUUAGAUGGGCCCGCGUUGGAUUAGCUAGUUGGUGGGGUAAAGGCCUACCAAGGCGACGAUCCAUAGCUGGUCUGAGAGGAUGAUCAGCCACACUGGGACUGAGACACGGCCCAGACUCCUACGGGAGGCAGCAGUGGGGAAUAUUGGACAAUGGGCGAAAGCCUGAUCCAGCAAUGCCGCGUGAGUGAUGAAGGCCUUAGGGUUGUAAAGCUCUUUUACCCGAGAUGAUAAUGACAGUAGCGGGAGAAUAAGCUCCGGCUAACUCCGUG